GAUGAACGCUAGCGGCAGGCCUAACACAUGCAAGUCGAGGGAGAAGCCCUUUCGGGGGCAGAAACCGGCGCACGGGUGCGUAACGCGUAUGCAACCUACCUUUCACAGGGGGAUAGCCCGAAGAAAUUUGGAUUAAUACCCCAUAAUAUUAUUGGAUGGCAUCAUUUGAUAAUUAAAACUGCGGUGGUGAAAGAUGGGCAUGCGUCCUAUUAGCUAGUUGGAGUGGUAACGGCACCCCAAGGCUACGAUAGGUAGGGGUCCUGAGAGGGAGAUCCCCCACACUGGUACUGAGACAGGGACCAGACUCCUACGGGAGGCAGCAGCGAGGAAUAUUGGUCAAUGGUCGGAAGACUGAACCAGCCAUGCCGCGUGCAGGAAGAAUGCCUUAUGGGUUGUAAACUGCUUUUAUAUGGGAAGAAUAAGGCGUACGUGUAC
rnacentral:rRNA from 1 species